rnacentral:rRNA from 1 species
AGGGCGCGUCCAAGUCCAUCUUGAACGGGGCCACUGCCCAUAGGGGGUCCAGUUCCGUAGCGACUGCUGCAGCUUUCGAGAGGGUCUCUUCUGAGAGUCGGGUUGCUUGAGUGUGCAGCCCUGAGUGGGUGGUGAACUCCAUCUAAGGCUAAAUAUUACCACGAGAUUGAUAGCGAACAAGUACCGUUAGGGAAAGUUGAAAAGAACUUUGAAGAGAGAGUUCAAG